CCUUGAAGAUCGCUCUGCAACAAUUAUCGUUCAAAGUAAGGACUGAUCUUCCAUUACACGAAGCUUUUAGACGCUUUUGAAGUAAGUUUUUCUCACUCCACAUGUCAUUUUUCUGAAUUUCUAGUCAUCCGCUCUCUUCGAUCUUUGCUCAAUUACCCUCAAGAUCUCUCUCUCAAUUUCAAUCUCACACUAGAAAUCCAAGAUUGCAAAACAUAGAACAAAAACCUAGAUCCAUCAAAACCCUAGAAAACAAUGACGAUCGUUGUUUAGAUACUUGCCUUUUCUUGUCUUUUCUUCUUGGUUAGAUACUUAGAUGUCGCUCUAGGGUUCAUAUUUAUUUCUCUGUAUGUUUUU
rnacentral:lncRNA from 1 species